GACGAACGCUGGCGGCGUGCUUAACACAUGCAAGUCGAACGAAGUGGCGAACGUUUGAGUAACGCGUAAUCAAACUGCCCUUCAAAGGGGGACAACAGUUGGAAACGACUGCUAAUACCGCAUACUGAAGGAGGGUAGUGCGUCUGAUGGGAUAGUUGGAGGGGGAACGCCCCACAAAGGCGAGGAUCAGUAGCCGGACUGAGUGAAGGAACGGACACAGUGGGAGUGGGACACGGCCCAGACUCCUACGGGAGGCAGCAGUAGGGACGCUUGCGCAAUGGAAGAAGGUCUGACGGAGCAACGCGGCGUGAGUUAUGACGGCCUUCGGGUUGUAAAGCUCUGUUAAUCGGGACGCGGUACCGGAAUAGAAAGCCACGGCUAACUACGUGCCAGCCGCCGCGGUAAUAC
rnacentral:rRNA from 1 species